rnacentral:misc_RNA from 1 species
AAGUAGGAGUGUACCUGUGGAGGCGUCAACAACAUCUCAAGGUCAGUUAUGUUUCUACAAAUAAGAUUCCAUAUACAAGCGUACACAUCCACUUGGAAUCUAACUCGGAUGUUAUUCAUAAAAACACUAGUGACCUUGAGAAAUAAUUAACAUACCACCUAGAGAAAUAAUUCUCUCCUUCGAAUUCCAAUAUACUUACGUUGGGAUGGAAAGUUGGAAUGUACAAGGGUUAAAGAAGGUCAAAAGCGCAUUAGAAUAUCAAAGAGAAAGGAUAAUAGGUGAAAGCGUCAAGGCCGCUUCUUUGAAUAGGUUUCAAGAAAGGAACUUGCUGUCGAUUGAAUCUCUCAUAUACCGAGAUGCUAAUGGGGUAAUUAUCUCGUAAGAAGAAAAAAAGUAGCCUUCGAGAUCCUCGUGAAACGAGGAAAAUCUCCUUGUAAACAAAAAAUACUACAAACUGCUUGUGGAAUAUGAAGACAGUGAGUGAAAGAAACGUCGUUAUGUCUGAACAUUGGUUCGAACAUUGAUUCGUGACUCUGGCGACAAUCUGGUAAGAUUGAAAGGCAAAGCGCGAAGGAAAUUCGAUACGCUUGUACCUCGACGAUAUCUUCAGCCCGAUCUCAAAGCAUCGUAGUAACGUAUACGAACAAAUCGCUGAGAUUAAAAAGGGACGACCAGAUAAAAAUGGCGACUGGGCGUAGACAAGCGUUCCCAAUUGACGACUUCAAUUCGAGAAUCGAUACGCUCGAUACACGUGUAUUUCAUUAAUGGAACCGCGAUCUCGAUAAAGACCACACGAAAGUUCGAUUACGGGAUUGAAACUAAACGAGGAACGCGCAUAAGCGUUAUCCUCGGUCAACAAACGUAAAAUGCUCUGAUAAGCCACGAUAUCGGCGAACGACACCGAUAGUUCUUGAAUAAAGGUGAAAGGAAACUGGAUUUAAGCAUAUACGGAAUGAAACCGGUUUGAAUCUACGAACCACAAGAAGGAAGCGUUUUCCUGUGUCUGGUCAAAUGGAAAUCAACG